GACGUAGGGGGCCAGCGUUGCUCGGAAUUACUGGGCGUAAAGGGUUCGUAGGCGGUGCGGCAAGUUCGGAGUGAAAUCUCCCGGCUCAACCGGGAGGCUGCUUCGAAAACUGCUGUGCUCGAGUCCGGGAGAGGCGCGUGGAAUUGCAGGUGUAGCGGUGAAAUGCGUAGAUAUCUGCAGGAACACCAGAGGCGAAAGCGGCGCGCUGGACCGGUACUGACGCUGAGGAACGAAAGCUAGGGGAGCAAACAGG
rnacentral:rRNA from 3 species